rnacentral:rRNA from 1 species
UACAGAGGUCCCAAGCGUUGUCGAUCGAUUGGAUGCGUAAAGGGUGCGUAGGUGGCGCUGUAAGUCGGGUGUGAAAUUUCGGAGCUUAACUCCGAAACUGCAUUCGAUACUGCGGUGCUUGAGGACUGGAGAGGAGACUGGAAUUCAUGGUGUAGCAGUGAAAUGCGUAGAGAUCAUGAGGAAGACCAGUGGCGAAGGCGGGUCUCUGGACAGUUCCUGACACUGAGGCACGAAGGCCAGGGGAGCAAACGGG